UACGUAGGGGGCUAGCGUUGUCCGGAAUCAUUGGGCGUAAAGCGCGUGUAGGCGGUUCGGUAAGUCGGCUGUGAAAGUCCAGGGCUCAACCCUGGGAUGCCGGUCGAUACUGCCGGACUAGAGUUCGGAAGAGGCGAGUGGAAUUCCCGGUGUAGCGGUGAAAUGCGCAGAUAUCAGGAGGAACACCGGUGGCGAAGGCGGAUCUCUGGGCCUUACCUGACGCUCAGGUGCGAAAGCUAGGGGAGCGAACAGG
rnacentral:rRNA from 1 species